AUGCUAAAAUUUGUUUUUUAGUUAAAAUACGGGUUUAUCGUAAAAUUGCUAUGGUCGACCCUUGAAGUAUAAAACAGAUGGAAGUUCAACCGCAUUUAAAUUCUUCGGCUAUGCUUGUAACUUUUUAUAUCGUAAACAAAAAGAAAACGACAUCAAAACUAUACUUAAACGCUUAAUCUUUAUACGUUGACGUAAAUAAGUACAUUCAUAGGUACGUUUGUAAUAAUUUAAAAAUAUAGUAUUUCGACGGUUCGGCGAUUAUAUUCAUGCAUAAACAUUAAAAAUGGCGACAACGAAACGUCAAAUAAAAACUUUUUUUUAAACUUCAUUUUAAAUCAAUGGAGUAUUACAAUACUUCAUUGAUUUAAAAUGAAUGGAACUAUGAUAUACAGCUAAGGAAACUCUAAGCUUUAGUAAUUUAGAAAACAUUUUUUGGGGUUUUUUAAAAUUUUUAGUUGUCUUUUAUAAUCAAAUGUCAAGUUACGAUUCGAGGCAGAAAAGAAGCUUAACCUAACAUGUGCUUUUAAAAUAAAGUGAUUCUAUUUAGUUACCGAGUUUCAGAAAACAUUUUGUUGAAUAAUUACAAUAACUAAUGGAACGACUAAAUCCUCUGAGGAAAUUAAAAUUAAGAUGUCGAUUAAAAGGUGAAACUAAGUGCCCCAAGAAGUCCUUACGGUCUUAUGACAGAGCACCGUGGAUGAGCAUUUAAUAAGAAGUUCAAGCUUCCUUUCUAACCGAUGUCGCAAAACUUGCCCAGAAGUGAGUUUGAACCACGAAUCCUUUGCUUCUGAGGCAAGUGCGCUACCACUGCACCACGGCUGCUCAAAUGUUUUAAAUACUAUUCGAUUUAUGUUAUCGUAUUUAUAAUAUUUAAGCAAUGUGCAACAAUAAAAAAAUAAUAAUAAAAAAAUAAUAAUAAUAACAAAAAAUAAAAUAAAAUUUCCUUUAGUGUAAAAGUAGCCCUAGUAUUUCAUACAUAGGACGAACUGGAUCAAGUGUGACCCCGUACAAAGUUUUUAGCAAUGUGCAGGGUUUUUUUUAAGUACAUAUUCACGGUUUUUUUUUUGUUUUUUUUUUCUUUUUGUAAUAUUCUUUUAGUUUAAAAAUUGGUUAUUUCAAACAUUUAAAAACCUUCCUACGCCACUGGUGCCCCCAAAAGUCGGUCUUAUCACGGAGCACCGCGGAAGAGCAUUUAAUACAAAGUUCACGCCUC
rnacentral:lncRNA from 1 species